rnacentral:rRNA from 1 species
GCGAUACAGGGUGACAGCCCCGUACACAAAAAUGCACAUAUUGUGAGCUCGAUGAGUAGGGCGGGACACGUGGUAUCCUGUCUGAAUAUGGGGGGACCAUCCUCCAAGGCUAAAUACUCCUGACUGACCGAUAGUGAACCAGUACCGUGAGGGAAAGGCGAAAAGAACCCCGGCGAGGGGAGUGAAAAAGAACCUGAAACCGUGUACGUACAAGCAGUGGGAGCCUCUUAAUGGGGUGACUGCGUACCUUUUGUAUAAUGGGUCAGCGACUUAUAUUCUGUAGCAAGGUUAACCGAAUAGGGGAGCCGAAGGGAAACCGAGUCUUAACUGGGCGUUAAGUUGCAGGGUAUAGACCCGAAACCCGGUGAUCUAGCCAUGGGCAGGUUGAAGGUUGGGUAACACUAACUGGAGGACCGAACCGACUAAUGUUGAAAAAUUAGCGGAUGACUUGUGGCUGGGGGUGAAAGGCCAAUCAAACCGGGAGAUAGCUGGUUCUCCCCGAAAGCUAUUUAGGUAGCGCCUCGUGAAUUCAUCUCCGGGGGUAGAGCACUGUUUCGGCAAGGGGGUCAUCCCGACUUACCAACCCGAUGCAAACUGCGAAUACCGGAGAAUGUUAUCACGGGAGACACACGGCGGGUGCUAACGUCCGUCGUGAAGAGGGAAACAACCCAGACCGCCAGCUAAGGUCCCAAAGUCAUGGUUAAGUGGGAAACGAUGUGGGAAGGCCCAGACAGCCAGGAUGUUGGCUUAGAAGCAGCCAUCAUUUAAAGAAAGCGUAAUAGCUCACUGGUCGAGUCGGCCUGCGCGGAAGAUGUAACGGGGCUAAACCAUGCACCGAAGCUGCGGCAGCGACACUAUGUGUUGUUGGGUAGGGGAGCGUUCUGUAAGCCUGUGAAGGUGGCCUGUGAGGGUUGCUGGAGGUAUCAGAAGUGCGAAUGCUGACAUAAGUAACGAUAAAGCGGGUGAAAAGCCCGCUCGCCGGAAGACCAAGGGUUCCUGUCCAACGUUAAUCGGGGCAGGGUGAGUCGACCCCUAAGGCGAGGCCGAAAGGCGUAGUCGAUGGGAAACAGGUUAAUAUUCCUGUACUUGGUGUUACUGCGAAGGGGGGACGGAGAAGGCUAUGUUGGCCGGGCGACGGUUGUCCCGGUUUAAGCGUGUAGGCUGGUUUUCCAGGCAAAUCCGGAAAACCAAGGCUGAGGCGUGAUGACGAGGCACUACGGUGCUGAAGCGACAAAUGCCCUGCUUCCAGGAAAAGCCUCUAAGCAUCAGGUAACAUCAAAUCGUACCCCAAACCGACACAGGUGGUCAGGUAGAGAAUACCAAGGCGCUUGAGAGAACUCGGGUGAAGGAACUAGGCAAAAUGGUGCCGUAACUUCGGGAGAAGGCACGCUGAUAUGUAGGUGAAGCGACUUGCUCGUGGAGCUGAAAUCAGUCGAAGAUACCAGCUGGCUGCAACUGUUUAUUAAAAACACAGCACUGUGCAAACACGAAAGUGGACGUAUACGGUGUGACGCCUGCCCGGUGCCGGAAG